rnacentral:lncRNA from 1 species
AUGCUGUUUAUGACUUUGCUAUGGAAACGUAGGGAUUAUUUACUCUCGAGUCGGUUUACAAUAACCUUCCCUUUCCUGACCAAACAACAAAGGAAAUAUCGGGUCAGGCGUCUCCCUGCUAACUUCAUCUGGCAGAUUCUGUCUCACUUUCAGUGCAUAUAUACAAACCCCGAUAAUGAUGUGUUUGAGGGUCUAUUUUUGAGCUCGAGCUGAUGAAACUCUUGAACCUAUCCGAGCGCUCAUCCUGUUUUGCCCACCUACUUGAGUUUAGUGGAAACAGUGAAUAUAGAUUUUACUAAAACACUUCUAUUUAAAAGUACACUCAGCAUCCUGGACGAGAGGCGCAUUUGCGUCACAGCGAGUCACUGAGUGACUGGGACUUUGGAAUUUUCCGUGGGGAUUUGGGAAGAGAUUGUUAAUCUUGAGUGACAAAAGACCAAUUUCCGCUGCAGUCUUGUGUAUGAAGGGCUGAUUUGAAUAGAUGUGGCAUUGUGACCAAGAGGCAGGCUGGUUGUUUUGUGGGCUUUUGGGGGAUGGGCAUGAUGUUCCAGGGGACAGUAUGUGCUGAUAAAUUCUAAUGGCUGGAGAUGCCCCUCUCUGACAUGAGAUGAGUCUGUGUGAUGCCGUGUGGACGUGCUGUCAGACAGCCACCCAAAGGGUCCUGUGGCCUCAAGAGCCAAGAUUCACUGCAAACAGAAAAUUGUUUUGUUUCUUUAGACAGAUCAGUGCCUGAAGAGUUUGGGUACUAGUGAAAGCUGAGUUAAGACAGAGCGAUGUCUUGUAAAUCGUCAGCACUUUGCUGUCUGUAUGUAAUUUAUUACAUCAAAAUAUACUUUUUAAUCAUGUUACAUUAUUAAUUUUCUAUAUAAAAUACCUAUAAUAUAUAUAUACACAUACACACACACAUAUAUAUAUACACACACAUAUACAGUAUAUAUACAUAUAUAUUGUUACAUAUAAUUUUGUUUUUGUUUUUAUUAUUUAUUUAAAAAUAAAUUCAACAUUUAUUGAAUUUUAAUUAUAACACAAACGUAACAAAGAACCAUACCUUAAAAAAACACACUCAAAUACCCCCCCACCCCUCAAAAAAAACCACAACCCACAAACAUCAAAACUUAACAAUACACAAUUGUAAUAAAGUAAAUGAAAAAUUUUUUUUAAAGAAUGUCUAGAGAAUUACAAUACAAUUACAAUAUUUCUUGUGAUAUAAUAGAAAGAAGAUGAGGUUCCAAAUAGUCCAAAUAUGGAGUCCAGACCUCAUAACACUGUCCUGUUACCUGAUGUAAAACAUAGGUAAGACCCCCCAGUGGAAUACAAUUCAUAAUUACUCUGUUCUUAUUUCGCAGGGUAAUAUUUUGGUCAUGAGUGAAAAUUAUAAUGACACAGACGUGAUAAAACCAGAAAGAGCAUGUUGUGAAUGUACUUAAUGGGCGACAGUCCCACAGUAGAUCAGGUACGAUUUACAUCAAGAGUUACUUUAAUAAAGACUUUUUAAAAUGUACAUUGAAAUUCAAUUAGAGUGUUGAAAGCAUAACCAAAGCUGUGAAAAAUAAACUCAUGGGGGGUCCGUCCUCCAUUUUGCCCUAAGGCAAAACAGUCCAUUAAUUUACUGCAUUCUAACUUUAUUCACAUAUGCAUUUUAAUGUUACUGCACAUUUCUGUUCUAAUGCACUACAUACAGAACCCUUGUAAAAGCCUGACAAAGAUCAUUUUAAACAAGCUAGACAGAGAAACUGCGCAAAAGAGAAAUACACUGAUUUUGAAGGCAUUAAUACUUCAAUAAAUCGCUUCACUUUGGUUGUUAAAUGGCCCAUCUUAAUUAGAAGAUUGACUUGACUUGCAUCAGUGGGUAUGAAGCUCUCCUUUGACUCCAGAACAAAACAAAGCGUGAGGUCUGAGAUCCUCAUCCUCUAAGAGAGGAGCUAAUCAAAGCUUUAGUCAUUAACAGCUGCAAAAUAAAUAUAAGUUUACCUGGAGGUCAUUCCACUGCAUCUGUUGAAUUAUGUAGCAAUUACAGUGGAUGUAAAGUUGUUGUUUGUUGGUUACAGUGUGCCCAGUAAUGACAGGAGCAGGGCAGCCGUGUCAAAGAGGAGGAUCUCCAUUCCUGAUUCAGAUUUGGCAAGCUAAUCAUUUGAAGUAUGCUUGUUAGGCCACUUAAAGUUUUACCAUUAAUCCAACCGGCACCUCUGAUCUAAAUUAUGCAUUUUUUGCAUCCUAUACAGCUUGCAGGAAUGCAGGUCUUUCUGAAACAUUUAUCAUAAAAGCUUCAUGAGGAGCAGGAUGUCUAGAAACGACAUACAGUUCUUGAUAUUUUUUUUUUUUUUGAUUUUUUUUUUUAAAAUACAACAGAUCCAUUUUGACAGAUCUCUACAAAAAUUUAAGACACACAAUGUUGAGAGUCAUAAAUUACACAAGAGAGGCUAGAAAACAGGACAGAAGUUGUUGGAUGUGAGAGAUAUGAAUUAUAGAUCGUAAAACUGUGUACGCAGUGCUGCUUUUUUCUGUUUCAGCAUGCAUUUCUCCAUUUGUCCCGUGUUGCUUAAAUUUUUAGUUAUUUUCCUGAUUACAGAAUUUACACCCGAAUCGCAGCUGACAAGACUUGGUCGGCACAUUACGGCAGGAAUCACCUGGGUAUUGAAAAAGUAACAAGUAAUUUAAAUAUUAAAUGCACUUUCUCAGAAAAGUGGCAAAAUCAUUUGAAUUAACGGAAAAGACGCGAGGCCCUAAUUGCAAACGUUUUGAUUUAUUCAUCCAUAUUUAGAAAGCGCCGCACAUUUCCUGCUCCUCUGCAAACACACGCAUUUCCUUUCUCUAUAAUAAAGCAAGAGGAAUCUCUAAGUGCCUGUUUUAUUUA